rnacentral:pre_miRNA from 1 species
UAGAGGGCAGGGAGGGAAUUUUGAAGUGAUUGUGUUUGUAAAAUUUAGCGGUUUUGUUUUUGGCGGGAAGGUCGGGAGAAGAAACAAUGUUUCCAACCGAUAUUGCACUUGUCCCGGCUUGCCUGCUGCCGCCAUCUUGCUCCAGACAUGACUUUGUCACUUCUUUAUUUUAAGCCACCCGUUCUGCAGUGUUUCUUCUC